AAAUUGAAGAGUUUGAUCAUGGCUCAGAUUGAACGCUGGCGGCAGGCCUAACACAUGCAAGUCGAGCGGUAGCACAGAGAGCUUGCUCUCGGGUGACGAGCGGCGGACGGGUGAGUAAUGUCUGGGAAACUGCCUGAUGGAGGGGGAUAACUACUGGAAACGGUAGCUAAUACCGCAUAACGUCGCAAGACCAAAGUGGGGGACCUUCGGGCCUCAUGCCAUCAGAUGUGCCCAGAUGGGAUUAGCUGGUAGGUGGGGUAACGGCUCACCUAGGCGACGAUCCCUAGCUGGUCUGAGAGGAUGACCAGCCACACUGGAACUGAGACACGGUCCAGACUCCUACGGGAGGCAGCAGUGGGGAAUAUUGCACAAUGGGCGCAAGCCUGAUGCAGCCAUGCCGCGUGUGUGAAGAAGGCCUUCGGGUUGUAAAGCACUUUCAGCGGGGAGGAAGGCGGUGAGGUUAAUAACCUCACCGAUUGACGUUACCCGCAGAAGAAGCACCGGCUAACUCCGUGCCAGCAGCCGCGGUAAUACGGAGGGUGCAAGCGUUAAUCGGAAUUACUGGGCGUAAAGCGCACGCAGGCGGUCUGUCAAGUCGGAUGUGAAAUCCCCGGGCUCAACCUGGGAACUGCAUUCGAAACUGGCAGGCUAGAGUCUUGUAGAGGGGGGUAGAAUUCCAGGUGUAGCGGUGAAAUGCGUAGAGAUCUGGAGGAAUACCGGUGGCGAAGGCGGCCCCCUGGACAAAGACUGACGCUCAGGUGCGAAAGCGUGGGGAGCAAACAGGAUUAGAUACCCUGGUAGUCCACGCUGUAAACGAUGUCGAUUUGGAGGUUGUGCCCUUGAGGCGUGGCUUCCGGAGCUAACGCGUUAAAUCGACCGCCUGGGGAGUACGGCCGCAAGGUUAAAACUCAAAUGAAUUGACGGGGGCCCGCACAAGCGGUGGAGCAUGUGGUUUAAUUCGAUGCAACGCGAAGAACCUUACCUGGUCUUGACAUCCACAGAACUUUCCAGAGAUGGAUUGGUGCCUUCGGGAACUGUGAGACAGGUGCUGCAUGGCUGUCGUCAGCUCGUGUUGUGAAAUGUUGGGUUAAGUCCCGCAACGAGCGCAACCCUUAUCCUUUGUUGCCAGCGGU
rnacentral:rRNA from 1 species